rnacentral:rRNA from 1 species
CGAAAGUCUGACGGAGCAACGCCGCGUGAGUGAUGAAGGUUUUCGGAUCGUAAAGCUCUGUUGUUAGGGAAGAACAAGUACCGUUCGAAUAGGGCGGGACCUUGACGGUACCUAACCAGAAAGCCACGGCUAACUACGUGCCAGCAGCCGCGGUAAUACGUAGGUGGCAAGCGUUGUCCGGAAUUAUUGGGCGUAAAGCGCGCGCAGGCGGUUUCUUAAGUCUGAUGUGAAAGCCCCCGGCUCAACCGGGGAGGGUCAUUGGAAACUGGGGAACUUGAGUGCAGAAGAGGAGAGUGGAAUUCCACGUGUAGCGGUGAAAUGCGUAGAGAUGUGGAGGAACACCAGUGGCGAAGGCGACUCUCUGGUCUGUAACUGACGCUGAGGCGCGAAAGCGUGGGGAGCGAACAGGAUUAGAUACCCUGGUAGUCCACGCCGUAAACGAUGAGUGCUAAGUGUUAGAGGGUUUCCGCCCUUUAGUGCUGCAGCAAACGCAUUAAGCACUCCGCCUGGGGAGUACGGUCGCAAGACUGAAACUCAAAGGAAUUGACGGGGGCCCGCACAAGCGGUGGAGCAUGUGGUUUAAUUCGAAGCAACGCGAAGAACCUUACCAGGUCUUGACAUCCUCUGACAAUCCUAGAGAUAGGACUUCCCCUUCGGGGGCAGAGUGACAGGUGGUGCAUGGUUGUCGUCAGCUCGUGUCGUGAGAUGUUGGGUUAAGUCCCGCAACGAGCGCAACCCUUGAUCUUAGUUGCCAGCAUUCAGUUGGGCACUCUAAGGUGACUGCCGGUGACAAACCGGAGGAAGUGGGGGAUGACGUCAAAUCAUCAUGCCCCUUAUGACCUGGGCUACACACGUGCUACAUGGGCAGAAC